UGGGGAAUUUUGGGCAAUGGAGGGAACUCUGACCCAGCCAUGCCGCGUGCAGGAUGAAGGCGUUAUGCGUUGUAAACUGCUUUUAUAUAGGAAGAAAUAGUCCUUGCGAGGAAAGUUGACGGUACUAUAUGAAUAAGCACCGGCUAACUCCGUGCCAGCAGCCGCGGUAAUACGGAGGGUGCAAGCGUUGUCCGGAUUUAUUGGGUUUAAAGGGUGCGUAGGCGGUUUAUUAAGUCAGUGGUGAAAGACGGUCGCUCAACGAUUGCAGUGCCAUUGAUACUGGUAGACUUGAGUAUGAUUGAGGUAGCUGGAAUGGAUAGUGUAGCGGUGAAAUGCAUAGAUAUUAUCCAGAACACCAAUUGCGUAGGCAAGUUACUAAGUCAUAACUGACGCUGAGGCACGAAAGUGUGGGUAUCAAACAGGAUUAGAUACCCCAGUAGUCCCUGAGCGGGCUGGCAAGGCGCAU
rnacentral:rRNA from 1 species